GACGAACGCUUGCGGCGUGCUUAACACAUGCAAGUCGAACGGAAAGGCCCUGCUUUUGUGGGGUGCUCGAGUGGCGAACGGGUGAGUAACACGUGAGUAACCUGCCCUUGACUUUGGGAUAACUUCAGGAAACUGGGGCUAAUACCGGAUAGGAGCUCCUGCUGCAUGGUGGGGGUUGGAAAGUUUCGGCGGUUGGGGAUGGACUCGCGGCUUAUCAGCUUGUUGGUGGGGUAGUGGCUUACCAAGGCUUUGACGGGUAGCCGGCCUGAGAGGGUGACCGGCCACAUUGGGACUGAGAUACGGCCCAGACUCCUACGGGAGGCAGCAGUGGGGAAUAUUGCACAAUGGGCGGAAGCCUGAUGCAGCAACGCCGCGUGCGGGAUGACGGCCUUCGGGUUGUAAACCGCUUUCGCCUGUGACGAAGCGUGAGUGACGGUAAUGGGUAAAGAAGCACCGGCUAACUACGUGCCAGCAGCCGCGGUGAUACGUAGGGUGCGAGCGUUGUCCGGAUUUAUUGGGCGUAAAGGGCUCGUAGGUGGUUGAUCGCGUCGGAAGUGUAAUCUUGGGGCUUAACCCUGAGCGUGCUUUCGAUACGGGUUGACUUGAGGAAGGUAGGGGAGAAUGGAAUUCCUGGUGGAGCGGUGGAAUGCGCGGAUAUCAGGAGGAACACCAGUGGCGAAGGCGGUUCUCUGGGCCUUUCCUGACGCUGAGGAGCGAAAGCGUGGGGAGCGAACAGGCUUAGAUACCCUGGUAGUCCACGCUGUAAACGGUGGGUACUAGGUGUGGGGUCCAUUCCACGGGUUCCGUGCCGUAGCUAACGCUUUAAGUACCCCGCCUGGGGAGUACGGCCGCAAGGCUAAAACUCAAAGGAAUUGACGGGGCCCCGCACAAGCGGCGGAGCAUGCGGAUUAAUUCGAUGCAACGCGUAGAACCUUACCUGGGUUUGACAUGGAUCGGGAGUGCUCAGAGAUGGGUGUGCCUCUUUUGGGGUCGGUUCACAGGUGGUGCAUGGCUGUCGUCAGCUCGUGCCGUGAGAUGUUGGGUUAAGUCCCGCAACGAGCGCAACCCUUGUUCACUGUUGCCAGCACGUUAUGGUGGGGACUCAGUGGAGACCGCCGGGGUCAACUCGGAGGAAGGUGGGGAUGACGUCAAGUCAUCAUGCCCCUUAUGUCCAGGGCUUCACGCAUGCUACAAUGGCUGGUACAGAGAGUGGCGAGCCUGUGAGGGUGAGCGAAUCUCGGAAAGCCGGCCUCAGUUCGGAUUGGGGUCUGCAACUCGACCUCAUGAAGUCGGAGUCGCUAGUAAUCGCAGAUCAGCAACGCUGCGGUGAAUACGUUCCCGGGGCU
rnacentral:rRNA from 1 species